UGUACUUUAGUUUUCAACCAUUCUCCACAUUCCUUUCACCAUGACUAUGUGGAGAUUUUGUAUGUACUUGGGUUAUUAACAGGCAAGGCCUUACAGUGGGCAGAGGCCUGUUUCUCUGAUUGCAGAGAUUUUGGUUGUACUUUUGAAGAAUUUGUGAAAGAAUUUAAGCAGACUUUUUUUCCCCCCGUUAUUGACAAGACUAGUACUGGCUGACAGUUGAGAGCCUUAAAGCAGCGUAAUAGGCCUCUUACUGAAUUUUUUAUUGAGUUUCGCACUUUGGCCGCUGCUUCUGGUUGGAAUAAUGACACUUUAAAGUCAGCCAUUUUUCACGCUUUAGACAACUCCUUAAAGGAUGAGUUGGUCCUAACUGAUCCCUCUACACUAGACGAAGCAAAUUCGUUAGCUAUUAAGGUUGACAAUAGAAUAAGGGAGAGAAGACGAUCUAGAGCUGAGUGGUUUAAUUUUAAACCACAGUUGGCCACUAGUUCUCUACCCAUAGCUAAGACACCACCUCAACAAACUGCAGCUGAACCUGAGCCCAUGCUACUAGGGCGCACCCGGUUAACUUUUGAGGAAAGACGGAGAUGCAAACAAGCCAAGCAGUGUUUUACUGCGGCUCACCUGAUCACUUCGUAGCAACUUGUCCUAUUUGCCCCAGGCAGCCGAAAGACAGGGUCCACCAACUAUGAAAGGGGGGUUGGUGGACCACUUACAGAAUUGCAAAACCCCCAGAUUCAGCCUAGCAGCUACUAUCACAUUUAAUCAACAUACUUUGACCUUGUCUGCCAUGUUGGAUUCAGGCAGCGAACAGAACUUAAUAGAUUCUGAGUUAGUCAUCAGUGCAGGCAUUGAGGUGGAACAACUUGCAUCUCCUUGUUCCGUUCAAGCCUUAGAUGGAAAGAGAUUGCAGCAGAUAACCCAACAAACUAAAUCUCUAGAAGUCUUACUGUCAGGUAACCAUAGGGAAGAUGUAUCUAUCUUUGUGUUUCCAGUGUCUCAUGGUUCCAUAGUUCUAGGCUUCCCUUGGUUACAGAAACCUAACCCUCAUUUAGACUGGUCUGAGUGUCGCGUCAAGUCAGCUUUCUCCCAGAGUUUCCCCGAGCAGGUUAACGGGGAGGACGACAUUAUUGAUUUGUCUCAUGUGCCCACUGAGUACCAUGAUUUGAAAGGAGUCUUUAGUAAAGAUAGGGCCCUGUCUUUACCCCCCCCCCCCACAGACCUUAUGACUGUGCGAUUGAUCUUCUUCCUGGUGCCCCUCUGCUUUCUAGCAGGUUGUAUAAUAUCUCACAUCCAGAACAGAAGUCUAUGGAGAAUUAUAUUAAUGACUCCUUGACUGCAGGUAUUGUUCAGACUUCCUCCUCACCUCUUGGGGCAGGAUUUUUCUUUGUGGGUAAGGACAGCUCGUUACGUCCAUGCAUUGAUUAUAGGGGCUUAAACCAAAUCACAGUUAAAAAUAAAUACCCUCUCCCUCUCAUCACCUCAGCUUUUGAACCGGUUCAUGGUGCAACAAUAUUUUCCAAAUUAGAUCUUAGAAACUCUUAUCAUCUCGUCAGGAUCCGCCAGGGGGAUGAGUGAAGACGGGCUUCAAGACACUGUUGGGCCAUUUAGAGUACCUGGUCAUGCUUUUCGGACUAUGUAACGCACCUGCUGUUUUCCAGGCCUUAGUUAAUGACGUUGUCAGACUUUUUGAAUAUUUUUGUUUUUGUAUAUUUGGAUGACAUUCUCAUUUAUUCUAAGGACAUUGAAGAACAUUGCAGACACGUUCGCCAGGUACUCCAGCGCCUUUUGGAAAAUCGCCUGUUUGUGAAAGCCGAAAAGUGAGUUUCACCAGCCAUCUGUCACAUUUCUGGGCUACAUACUUGAGGGUGGACAGGUACGUUCUGACCCAGAAAAUCAAGACUGUCCUGGAAUGGCCUGUACCGGACUCACGCAAAGGACUACAGCGUUUUCUCGGAUUUGCGAACUUCUACAGACGGUUCAUCAAGGACUAUAGCCUAACAGCUGCACCUCUCACUGCAUUAACUUCUUCCAAGGUCUACUUCAUCCUUGUGCCUUUUUCUCCCGCAGGUUAAGCAACACCAAAAGAAACUAUGAUGUGGGUGACAAAGAAUUACUGGCCAUAAUACUCGCCCUUGAGGAGUGGCACCACUGGCUGGAGGGGGCUGAGCAUCCCAUUCAAGUCUGGACUGAUCAUAAGAACUUGGCCUAUCUCCAAGCUGCUAAAAGACUCAAUCCACACCAGUCUCGGUGGUCUUUAUUCUUCUCUCAAUUAAAUUUGUGUAUUUCUUUCAGACCAGGCCCUAAGAACACUAAGCCUGAUUCCCUGUCCAGACAGUUCGCCGCUGAUUCGGUGAAGGAACCAGCCCCUAUUCUGCCGUCCACUUGGACAGUAGGAGCACUCAGGUGGGAAAUAGAAGAGAUUAUUCACAGGGCUCAACAACUGGAGCCUGACCCUGGCACAGGACCACCAAACCGAAUCUAUGUCCCGUCUCAUGUACCUACUAAGCUAAUUGAAUGGCUACACACAGCUACGUUUUUGACUCAUCCUGGGGUAAGCAGGACUAUAGUAUUGGUUCAGAGAAGGUUUUGGUGGCCAUCUAUACGUAAAGAUGUCAGAGAUGUCAAGCUUGUGCCCAGAACAAAUCCAGUAACCAGCCUCCUGCAGGUCUACUCCAACCCCUCAGUAACCCUAGUCGACCAUGGUCUCAUAUUGCCUUAGACUUUGUUACUGGACUGCCUCUUUCGUCAGGUAUGACUACUGUUCUCACGAUCGUUGAUCGUUUUUCUAAAUCAUGCCAUCUCAUUCCCUCAAACUUCUGUCAGCUCUACAAACAGCAAAACUACUCACCAAGCACGUAUUUCGUCUCCAUGGGAUUCCUCAGGAUAUUUUGUCAGACUGAGGUCCACAGGUCGUCUCUCAGGUUUGGAAACAGUUUUGUUUAGCUCUAGGAGCAAAGGUUUUGCUAACAUCUGGCUAUCACCAACAGUCAAAGGUUGAAUCAACAACUGGAAUCCACUCUACGCUGCCUCACAUCCACAAACCCCACAGAUUGGUGCUCGUACCUACCUUGGGUCGAGUACGCACUCAACUCACACAUCUCUUCAGCUACUGGUCGUUCUCCUUUUGAAGUAUCUAUUGGGUACCAGCCUCCUUUGUUUUCCGCUGACGAGAAGGAUAUCACGGUUUCAUCAGACCAUCAACAUGUCUGCCGAUGCAGAACCAUCUGGAACUCAACCAUUCAGGCCCUUCACCGAACUGCUGACCAGAAACACCGACCUGCACCAGAGUAUCAGCCUGGACAAAGGGUAUGAUUAUUGGCACGUGCUGUGCCACUCAAGUCCAUGUCUCGGAAACUAUCGCCUCGUUACAUCGGACCGUACAAGAUAUAGACUGUGAUCAGCCCCUCUGCGGUUCGCCUUUGCCUACCUGCAAGCCUUCGGAUACAUCCUACAUUCCAUGUGCCGCAAAAAAAGUGAUUCGCACACCUGGGUCCUGACUCCCUCUACCCCUGGCGACCUGACUACACUCACCUAUUGGCGAUUCUACCAUUCACGUUCCAGUUUCACUUGUAAAUAAAACACCUUUUACUGA